rnacentral:rRNA from 1 species
UGGGGAAUAUUGCACAAUGGGCGAAAGCCUGAUGCAGCAACGCCGCGUGAGUGAUGAAGGUCUUCGGAUUGUAAAGCUCUGUCUUUUGGGACGAUAAUGACGGUACCAAAGGAGGAAGCCACGGCUAACUACGUGCCAGCAGCCGCGGUAAUACGUAGGUGGCGAGCGUUGUCCGGAUUUACUGGGCGUAAAGGGUGCGUAGGCGGAUGUUUAAGUGAGAUGUGAAAUACCCGGGCUUAACUUGGGUGCUGCAUUUCAAACUGGAUAUCUAGAGUGCAGGAGAGGAGAAUGGAAUUCCUAGUGUAGCGGUGAAAUGCGUAGAGAUUAGGAAGAACACCAGUGGCGAAGGCGAUUCUCUGGACUGUAACUGACGCUGAGGCACGAAAGCGUGGGUAGCAAACAGGUAUAGUACCCUGGUAGUCCGCGCCGUAAACGAUGAGUACUAGGUGUAGGAGGUAUCGACCCCUUCUGU